rnacentral:rRNA from 1 species
GUAAACGGGCUCCACCAAAGCGACCGAUGCGUAGGCGGACUGAGGAGGUGAUCCGUCACACUGGACUGAGACACGCCCAGACUCUACGGGAGGCAGCAGUAGGGAAUCUCGCAAUGACGAAAGUCUGACGGAGCAACGCCGCGUGAGUGAUGAAGGUUUUCGGAUCGUAAAGCUCUGUUGUUAGGGAAGAACAAGUGCCGUUCAAAUAGGGCGGCACUUUGACGGUACCUAACCAGAAAGCCACGGCUAACUACGUGCCAGCAGCCGCGGUAAUACGUAGGUGGCAAGCGUUGUCCGGAAUUAUUGGGCGUAAAGGGCUCGCAGGCGGUUUCUUAAGUCUGAUGUGAAAGCCCCCGGCUCAACCGGGGAGGGUCAUUGGAAACUGGGGAACUUGAGUGCAGAAGAGGAGAGUGGAAUUCCACGUGUAGCGGUGAAAUGCGUAGAGAUGUGGAGGAACACCAGUGGCGAAGGCGACUCUCUGGUCUGUAACUGACGCUGAGGAGCGAAAGCGUGGGGAGCGAACAGGAUUAGAUACCCUGGUAGUCCACGCCGUAAACGAUGAGUGCUAAGUGUUAGGGGGUUUCCGCCCCUUAGUGCUGCAGCUAACGCAUUAAGCACUCCGCCUGGGGAGUACGGUCGCAAGACUGAAACUCAAAGGAAUUGACGGGGGCCCGCACAAGCGGUGGAGCAUGUGGUUUAAUUCGAAGCAACGCGAAGAACCUUACCAGGUCUUGACAUCCUCUGACAAUCCUAGAGAUAGGACGUCCCCUUCGGGGGCAGAGUGACAGGUGGUGCAUGGUUGUCGUCAGCUCGUGUCGUGAGAUGUUGGGUUAAGUCCCGCAACGAGCGCAACCCUUGAUCUUAGUUGCCAGCAUUCAGUUGGGCACUCUAAGGUGACUGCCGGUGACAAACCGGAGGAAGGUGGGGAUGACGUCAAAUCAUCAUGCCCCUUAUGACCUGGGCUACACACGUGCUACAAUGGACAGAACAAAGGGCAGCGAAACCGCGAGGUUAAGCCAAUCCCACAAAUCUGUUCUCAGUUCGGAUCGCAGUCUGCAACUCGACUGCGUGAAGCUGGAAUCGCUAGUAAUCGCGGAUCAGCAUGCCGCGGUGAAUACGUUCCCGGGCCUUGUACACACCGCCCGUCACACCACGAGAGUUUGUAACACCCGAAGUCGGUGAGGUAACCUUUAGGAGCCAGCCGCCGAAUGGUGACAGGAGG